GUUCUUAUAAAAGUUUGCGGUGUCUUUAAAGACUUAAUAGGGAAACCGGUGAGUAGAUACAAAUCCGGUGCUGCCCCGCAACUGUGAGGAACAAUUAAAUCCUUCAGCAAAAUGCCACUGGAAACAUUCCGGGAAGGCGCUGAAAGGAGUUCCGAGCCAGGAGACCUGCCGCAAAUUAAGAAUAAUC
rnacentral:ncRNA from 2 species